rnacentral:snRNA from 1 species
UCAUUCUUGCAGUGUGCAUAAUAAAAUUGGACAGACACAGAGAAUAUCAGCAUGACCCUUUGAACAAAGAUGACACUUUGUUUUGUAAAUAAUCAUUAAAUUGU